rnacentral:rRNA from 1 species
AUACGUAGGUGGCGAGCGUUGUCCGGAAUUACUGGGUGUAAAGGGAGCGCAGGCGGGAAUGCAAGUUGGAUGUGAAAUACCGAGGCUUAACCUCGGGGCUGCAUCCAAAACUGUAUUUCUUGAGUGAAGGAGAGGUAGGCGGAAUUCCGAGUGUAGCGGUGGAAUGCGUAGAUAUCGGGAGGAACACCAGUGGCGAAGGCGGGUAACUGGACUGCAACUGACGCUGAGGCGCGAAAGUGUGGGGAGCAAACAGGAUUAGAUACCCUGGUAGUCCACACUGUAAACGAUGAAUGCUAGGUGUAAGAGGUAUCGACCCCUUUUGUGCCGGAGUCAACACAAUAAGCAUUCCGCCUGGGGAGUACGGCCGCAAGGUUGAAACUCAAAUGAAUUGACGGGG